AAAAGUCGGGACAAAAGGGAGGCACGUGUGCGCGUUUGAGACUUCAAUCUCUCGUCAACGUCGGGGGAACCGGCGAUUGUUGGAUCGAUCGACGGUGCUCGGCACCGAUCGUCACCGCGAGAGCGUGAGCACGCGACGGGCAGGUGCGGCGCGGCGACGUCGCGUCACGUCGCGUCGGGAGGAUCCAUUGCGGUGGAGCGGACGGGCCGAGCCUUGACUCUCGUUCCUCUCCACCCUGCUGCGGUCGAAGCGUCGAGGAUGGCCGACAUCAAGCAGGAUCACAAGGGCGAGGACGUCGACAGCUACGGGAUGGACAAUAGCGCCGACCCGAAGAACAUGCAGGAGCUGACGCAAUACGUGCAAACGCUGCUGCAGAACAUGCAGGACAAGUUUCAGACCAUGUCCGACCAGAUCAUAGGAAGAAUAGAUGAAAUGGGCAACAGAAUAGACGACCUGGAAAAGAAUAUCGCGGACCUAAUGACGCAAGCGGGAGUCGAAGGUGGUGAUAAGUGAGCUCGUCCUUUUCGCAGUGCGCUGAUCUAUCUGUAAUGACUUAUCUAAAAUAUAGCCACACUUAUUGUCACAGGAAAAGAAGAAAUGUAUACCAAUAGAAUUCUCGUUGCAGAUAACCGAGGCAAUUGCAACUAAGUGGACGUAACGACUAGGCAACUUCGGUGGAAUGCGAAAUGACGUUAUUCCUUCCCGCUAUCUUUAUCUGAGUUUUUUUUUCUCUUAUCUCGUUCAAAACAAUCUUGCGCAUCAACGUGGACGCUCGAACUGAUACACAGAGUACAAAUAAGCAUUCUGUAAGAAUGUUCACUUUGUCUGAUUCAUUCUAUAAGGUAGAUGAUAUAUUAUAGACGAUAUUAAAGACUUCUGACACGUGGGAAUU